rnacentral:rRNA from 1 species
UUAAUUGAAGAGUUUGAUCAUGGCUCAGAUUGAACGCUGGCGGUAGGCUUAACACAUGCAAGUCGAGCGGUAACAGACAUUUUGAUUUUGCUUGCAAAAUCUCGUGCUGACGAGCGGCGAACGGGUGAGUAACGCGUAGGAAUCUACCUAGUAGAAGGGGAUAGCCCG